rnacentral:rRNA from 1 species
GACAGAGGGUGCAAACGUUGUUCGGAAUUACUGGGCGUAAAGCGCGUGUAGGCUGCUUCGCAAGUCGGAUGUGAAAGCCCUGGGCUCAACCCAGGAAGUGCAUUCGAAACUGCAGAGCUGGAGUCCUGGAGAGGAAGGCGGAAUUCUCGGUGUAGAGGUGAAAUUCGUAGAUAUCGAGAGGAACACCGGUGGCGAAGGCGGCCUUCUGGACAGUGACUGACGCUGGAGACGCGAAAGCGUGGGGAGCAAACAGG